GGCGAUCGCGUGCCCCUGGGCAUGAGGAAAGUCCGAGCACCAUAGGGCAGGAUGCCGGCUAACGGCCGGUGGAGGCGACUCCAAGGAAAGUGCAACAGAAAUAAACCGCAGGACUGCCGAUCCGUCAGUCAUCCGUGCAACACGGAUGGAAAGUGAGAAGCGGUUCCUGUAAGGAUGGAAAGGCGAGGUAAGAGCUCACCAGCGGCAUGGCGACUUGCCGGCUAUGUAAACCCCACCUGAUGCAAGAUUGAUUGUGGAACACAUGUGGCGGCCCGUCACGUUCCCGGGUAAUCGCUAG
rnacentral:RNase_P_RNA from 1 species